rnacentral:precursor_RNA from 13 species
CAGAGUGCAUGCACACAGCAGGUGCUUAACGAACACCUCAAUUAUUAGUAGUAAAGUAAUUAUUAUUAGCACACUACUAAUAAUUGUGGUAUCGGUUAAGUGCCUGCUAAUACUACAAUAAUCUCA